rnacentral:rRNA from 1 species
GAACGCUGGCGGCAGGCCUAACACAUGCAAGUCGAGCGGAUGAGUGGAGCUUGCUCCAUGAUUCAGCGGCGGACGGGUGAGUAAUGCCUAGGAAUCUGCCUAUUAGUGGGGGACAACGUUUCGAAAGGAACGCUAAUACCGCAUACGUCCUACGGGAGAAAGCAGGGGACCUUCGGGCCUUGCGCUAAUAGAUGAGCCUAGGUCGGAUUAGCUAGUUGGUGAGGUAAUGGCUCACCAAGGCGACGAUCCGUAACUGGUCUGAGAGGAUGAUCAGUCACACUGGAACUGAGACACGGUCCAGACUCCUACGGGAGGCAGCAGUGGGGAAUAUUGGACAAUGGGCGAAAGCCUGAUCCAGCCAUGCCGCGUGUGUGAAGAAGGUCUUCGGAUUGUAAAGCACUUUAAGUUGGGAGGAAGGGCAUUAACCUAAUACGUUAGUGUUUUGACGUUACCGACAGAAUAAGCACCGGCUAACUUCGUGCC